AACGCACCUUGCACUCUGUGGUUAUUCCGCAGAGUAUGUUUGUUUGAGUGUCGCGAUACUUCUCAACCCCGCUUCAUUAACUUGAAGUAGUUUGGGCUUGGAUCAUGGUCGUUGCCGGCUUAGGCCAGGCUCGAUUGAAAUACAACAAGCUGGAUGAUGCCAUUAGCGGCUUGAACUUAACGUUGUAAUUAUAAUCGUUAGGCUACGCUUUUGGAGUGUUCAAUGAGCUUACCAAUUCAUUAAAGAACUUUAUUGUUCAAUUUGACCUCAAAUCAAGCAGGACUACCCGCUGAACUUAA
rnacentral:misc_RNA from 1 species